AUGGCAAUAGGAGCAGGCUUGGUAGAAAUAUGGUGUUAUAAGUGGUAUGUUUUAGGCGGUCUUGGAGUUUACAUCACCCUGCGCACAGUCAAGCGCUUCGUGCGAACAAAUUCCCCCGAUGUCUCCUCUGCUUUGGCAGCAACAAAAUUUGCCACCGAGAGUGCCGAUGCUGCAGCUGUUUUGGGAGGCUAUGUCAAAGAGGUUUUAAAGAGAAAGGAUUUGGAUGAUUUGGAUGUCUGUACUGUGAUGACAGAUUUUGGAUCUCUUAUUGAAACUAAAGGGGCUGCCGUGGGAUGCUAUUGUGUUGAGCAUUUACAUUUAAAAGUCAUCAACCAUUUGAAUCAUGACAGUGAUAUGAAGCAUUUGCUGGAUAGAUUGAAUAGUGCUUUUGAGAGUUUGAGCAAAAUGUUGGUGCUGAAUGCAAGGAUGGGAUACAGAUUGACCGAGCAAACAGACAAGUCAAGAUAUUGCAUCCUCUCAAAAGAUGGCCAGGCUAUUGGUAUGUUUGUCACGCAAGAUUUGAGUAAGUUUGGAUGUUGGGAUUGCUGCGAUGGAAGCAUACAAGAUGCGGUUAUAGUUGCAAAAGGCUACGACAAGUUGAGCUUUAUGGCUGCACAACGUCUGAGUGAUGAGAGUGCAGUUCACUUUGAUACAAUCUCUGAUGGGCCUGAGUUCGUUGUCAUUGCAUGUGAUGGAGUUUGCAAUCUUAUGGAAAACAUGGAUGCAGUUCGCUUUGUGUACCAAGCAGCCAGAGCGGACAUGGAGCUGCGUCCUCUCUGCGACGUCCUCCUGGAUGGCCUACUAUCAUCGGGAAGCUCGGUAAAGGUGGUGGCUGUACUUGUGCAGUUCAAGGCCCGACACAUGGGCGAGGGUUCUUCCGUCAAUGUCUGA
rnacentral:rRNA from 1 species